UACGAAGGGGGCUAGCGUUGCUCGGAAUCACUGGGCGUAAAGGGUGCGUAGGCGGGUCUUUAAGUCAGGGGUGAAAUCCUGGAGCUCAACUCCAGAACUGCCUUUGGUACUGAGGAUCUUGAGUUCGGGAGAGGUGAGUGGAACUGCGAGUGUAGAGGUGAAAUUCGUAGAUAUUCGCAAGAACACCAGUGGCGAAGGCGGCUCACUGGCCCGAUACUGACGCUGAGGCACGAAAGCGUGGGAGCAAACAGG
rnacentral:rRNA from 1 species